rnacentral:rRNA from 1 species
UACGUAGGGGGCUAGCGUUGUCCGGAUUUAUUGGGCGUAAAGAGCGUGUAGGCGGCCUGGUAGGUCUGCUGUGAAAUCCCGAGGCUCAACCUCGGGACCUGCGGUGGGUACGGGCAGACUGGAGUGCGGUAGGGGAGAAUGGAAUUCCUGGUGGUAGCGGUGGAAUGCGCAGAUAUCAGGAGGAACACCGAUGGCGAAGGC